UUGAUUUGUUGUUCAGCCCAGAGGCGGGAAUUUUGGCGAACGAGAGAAGGGAGGGAGUGUCGAAGGUGAAAUCAAUAUGGUGGCAGCGGGGAGCAUUAGCAUGACCGAAGUGGAGAAUUUACUUAGUCGAAUAUUUUCUUCUGUCUUUGGAGGAAAAGGUUAAGAGACUGGUAGCUCAUCAUCCAAACGAUGUUCAAAUAACACCAACGACAGAAUCGUAAUUUUUGUGUUAUGUGGUUUCAACUAAAGGACUAGCUAACGGCAAGUAGGAAUUCACUUUACUGUUUCCCACGCCUCCUUUUUGGAGGAGACAGCUUGAAUUCAACAAUUGUGGAUUUGAAGCAUUUAUCUGACAAAUUAGGAAACACAAAUGAAGCACAAGUCACAUAUUCUGCCCUCAUGCAUGUUGAUAUUUUAUAAUACAUUCUUCAAAAACGGACCACGGAGCCUCUCAGAACCAGACAGGAGAACCACAACCAGACGCAGCUGAAGUUGCAUCAAGGCCGCGCAGAGUGCGGCGGGCUUACGGCCUCAGUAGCAGCACAGUGCUGUGACAUGAUGAUGGAGCAGUCAAAGGCUCGCUUUGAGAAAGCACAGCACUUGGUGUCGUUUGACUUCAAUGACAGGGUGAUUAGCAUGUUUGCAUCCCAGAAAACUCGAUGAUGUGAUCUUCUCUUUAAAUAAGUGACUGUUUGAGAGUGAAAAACUCCACUGUGCAUGGGGAGGAACUAUUGAGGAGUGGAGGAGAGACAGUGUUCCGCAUCUUGGGUUGAUGGAUCCAGGUGAAAGUCUCAUCGAGAUUUAAAUGUCCUUUCCAGGAGAGACCUGGCCACCAUGGAAGCAAAGUUUACAACAAAUACAACGCAUAACAUAAAAAGUGAGCACAAUUUAAAGCAAAAUUACUGUAUUGUGGAUUUCAAAUUAAAAGCCUUCCCUGUCUGCUUAGACUUGAACCUGACUGCAGCAGGUUCAAGUCUACCUAUCUGUAGGGUAGGGUAGGGUAGGGUAGGGUAGGUGUGCACUGGAUGAGUGCAGAGAACUUAAUUUUUGUGGUCGCAACUCCAUACGGUGGUAACGCUUAAAUCUCUUUUAAAAACCUGCAGCCGUCGUACCUGGACCUGGGGAGCGUUUCGUGUCAACACGUCUAACAACGAGACACAAGCAUCCUGCAGUUUUCAUCUUCACUGUAUUGGUUUGGUUUGGUAUGGUUUGGUUUGCUUCUUUCUUCAAAAUGUUGGCACCAGCAGUCUCUGUUGCUUCUUGAAGUAUUUAGUGCAGGAAUGCUGACAGAGUUUGGUACCUGCUCGAAUAAAACUUUUAACAAACUGA